rfam:Lentinula edodes NBRC 111202 DNA, contig: scaffold436.
GCAUUAAUGGGGUAGUGGUAACCUGGGUCGUUGCCAUACUUUCGAUAUCACAUUGCAUCUCGACCCGCCGGGGGUUCGAUUCCCCCUUAAUGCA